GUGGGAGGAUUGCUUGAGCCCAGGAGUUCUGGGCUGUCAUGCACUGUGACCAUGAGGUGUCCACACUAAGUUCCACAUCAAUACAGUGACCUCCUGGGAGUGAGGGACCAACAGGUUGUCUAAGGAGGAGUGAAGCAGCCCAGGUCAGAAAUGGAGCAUGUCAAAACUUUCAUGCUGAUCAGUAGAGGAAUUGUACCUGUGAAUAGCCACACUGCAGCCUGGGCAACAUAGCAAGAGAGUCUCU
rnacentral:SRP_RNA from 1 species